rnacentral:lncRNA from 1 species
ACCGGCUUCCGCCGCUUGCGACUGGCGUAGGUGAUGUUGGCGCUGCUGCUGUUCAUGGUGCCCAGCCGACGGCGGCGGCUACUCCCCGGGCACUGGCGGCCGGGUCCCCGGAACCCGGUGUAGGCUGGGACCACUGCGGCGGCCGGCGCCGGGUUCCGCGAAGCCGCGCCCGCUCCACCUGCGUCCUCUCGGGACAGUGGCGUGGGCGCCGCGCCUCAACGCCUCGGCUCACGCAGGCUUCCGCAGCCCGCGCCAGUACAGUGUUGUGAACCACUUGUCAUGGGAUAACCAAAAUUAAACCUGGAAUCGCAGAAGAAACAAAUUUUUUGAAGAAAUUGGAUGUACUUUUUUAAAAUUUUUCAUUCAACUAAAACUUUGUUAACUGUUUCUUGGUUGUGGUCUUCUCUAAAUUGUAAUCUUUGGCAUUCACUUCCAAAGUAUCCACCACUAAACUUCAUAACAUUUAUUGUGUCUCUUCAUCAUUAAACUUUGAUGAAUUUA